GAUGAAGAACGUAGCGAAAUGCGAUACGUAAUGUGAAUUGCAGAAUUCAGUGAAUCAUCGAAUCUUUGAACGCAUAUUGCGCUCUCUGGUAUUCCGGAGAGCAUGCUUGUUUGAGUAUCAGUAAACACCUCAACUUCCAUAUCUUUUUUGAAAUGGGAGUUGGACUUGAGUGAUCCCAACGCUUUUCCUCACCGAAAAGUGGCGGGUUACUUGAAAUGCAGGUGCAGCUGGACUUUUCUCUGAGCUAUAAGCAUAUCUAUUUAGUCUGCCUAAAAAACAGAUUAUUACCUUUGCUGCAGCUAACAUAAAGGAGAUUAGUUCUUGUGCUGACUGAUGCAGGAUUCACAAAGACGGCUUCGGCCGACUUUGUAAACUCGAUCUCAAAUCAAGUAAGACUACCCGCUGAACUUAAGCAUAUCAUAAGCGGAGGA
rnacentral:misc_RNA from 1 species